rnacentral:rRNA from 1 species
UACGGAGGGGGCUAGCGUUUGUUCGGAAUUACUGGGCGUAAAGCGCACGUAGGCGGCUUUGUAAGUUAGAGGUGAAAGCCCAGGGCUUAACCCUGGAAUUGCCUUUAAGACUGCAUCGCUAGAAUCGUGGAGAGGUGAGUGGAAUUCCGAGUGUAGAGGUGAAAUUCGUAGAUAUUCGGAAGAACACCAGUGGCGAAGGCGACUCACUGGACACGUAUUGACGCUGAGGUG